rnacentral:rRNA from 1 species
GAAGCAGCCAUCAUUUAAAGAAAGCGUAAUAGCUCACUGGUCGAGUCGGCCUGCGCGGAAGAUGUAACGGGGCUAAACCAUGCACCGAAGCUGCGGCAGCGACACUAUGUGUUGUUGGGUAGGGGAGCGUUCUGUAAGCCUGUGAAGGUGUGCUGUGAGGCAUGCUGGAGGUAUCAGAAGUGCGAAUGCUGACAUAAGUAACGAUAAAGCGGGUGAAAAGCCCGCUCGCCGGAAGACCAAGGGUUCCUGUCCAACGUUAAUCGGGGCAGGGUGAGUCGACCCCUAAGGCGAGGCCGAAAGGCGUAGUCGAUGGGAAACAGGUUAAUAUUCCUGUACUUGGUGUUACUGCGAAGGGGGGACGGAGAAGGCUAUGUUGGCCGGGCGACGGUUGUCCCGGUUUAAGCGUGUAGGCUGGUUUUCCAGGCAAAUCCGGAAAAUCAAGGCUGAGGCGUGAUGACGAGGCACUACGGUGCUGAAGCAACAAAUGCCCUGCUUCCAGGAAAAGCCUCUAAGCAUCAGGUAACAUCAAAUCGUACCCCAAACCGACACAGGUGGUCAGGUAGAGAAUACCAAGGCGCUUGAGAGAACUCGGGUGAAGGAACUAGGCAAAAUGGUGCCGUAACUUCGGGAGAAGGCACGCUGAUAUGUAGGUGAAGUCCCUCGCGGAUGGAGCUGAAAUCAGUCGAAGAUACCAGCUGGCUGCAACUGUUUAUUAAAAACACAGCACUGUGCAAACACGAAAGUGGACGUAUACGGUGUGACGCCUGCCCGGUGCCGGAAGGUUAAUUGAUGGGGUUAGCCGCAAGGCGAAGCUCUUGAUCGAAGCCCCGGUAAACGGCGGCCGUAACUAUAACGGUCCUAAGGUAGCGAAAUUCCUUGUCGGGUAAGUUCCGACCUGCACGAAUGGCGUAAUGAUGGCCAGGCUGUCUCCACCCGAGACUCAGUGAAAUUGAACUCGCUGUGAAGAUGCAGUGUACCCGCGGCAAGACGGAAAGACCCCGUGAACCUUUACUAUAGCUUGACACUGAACAUUGAGCCUUGAUGUGUAGGAUAGGUGGGAGGCUUUGAAGUGUGGACGCCAGUCUGCAUGGAGCCGACCUUGAAAUACCACCCUUUAAUGUUUGAUGUUCUAACGUUGACCCGUAAUCCGGGUUGCGGACAGUGUCUGGUGGGUAGUUUGACUGGGGCGGUCUCCUCCUAAAGAGUAACGGAGGAGCACGAAGGUUGGCUAAUCCUGGUCGGACA